rnacentral:rRNA from 1 species
ACAUGCAAGUCGAACGGGCACUUCGGUGCUAGUGGCAGACGGGUGAGUAACACGUGGGAACGUACCUUUCGGUUCGGAAUAAUCCAGGGAAACUUGGACUAAUACCGGAUACGCCCUUCGGGGGAAAGAUUUAUCGCCGAUAGAUCGGCCCGCGUCUGAUUAGCUAGUUGGUGAGGUAAAGGCUCACCAAGGCGACGAUCAGUAGCUGGUCUGAGAGGAUGAUCAGCCACAUUGGGACUGAGACACGGCCCAAACUCCUACGGGAGGCAGCAGUGGGGAAUAUUGGACAAUGGGCGCAAGCCUGAUCCAGCCAUGCCGCGUGAGUGAUGAAGGCCUUAGGGUUGUAAAGCUCUUUUGUCCGGGAAGAUAAUGACUGUACCGGAAGAAUAAGCCCCGGCUAACUUCGUGCCAGCAGCCGCGGUAAUACGAAGGGGGCUAGCGUUGCUCGGAAUCACUGGGCGUAAAGGGCGCGUAGGCGGACUUUUAAGUCGGAGGUGAAAGCCCAGGGCUCAACCCUGGAAUUGCCUUCGAUACUGGGAGUCUUGAGUUCGGAAGAGGUUGGUGGAACUGCGAGUGUAGAGGUGAAAUUCGUAGAUAUUCGCAAGAACACCGGUGGCGAAGGCGGCCAACUGGUCCGAAACUGACGCUGAGGCGCGAAAGCGUGGGGAGCAAACAGGAUUAGAUACCCUGGUAGUCCACGCCGUAACGAUGAAUGCCAGCCGUUGGGGAGCUUGCUCUUCAGUGGCGCAGCUAACGCUUUAAGCAUUCCGCCUGGGGAGUACGGUCGCAAGAUUAAAACUCAAAGGAAUUGACGGGGGGCCCGCACAAGCGGUGGAGCAUGUGGUUUAAUUUCGAAGCAACGCG